ensembl:lncRNA
CAUGAUCUCUGGUGUCCCUUUGCCUUUAAUGGAAGUGAGCAGGGUGGGGAGCCACAUCUUGAGGCUGGUUGAGGCAGCCACUUGGCCGCAAGGGACACAGUGGCUGUCUGGGGGGCUCGGUGUCCGUGGUGGGGUCUGACGACCUUUCUGGUGACAUCAGGGCACAGGCAAGAGGCCUGGGGGAGGUUCUCGUGGCCGACGCCAUCACUCAAAAGGGGCAUUGUUUGAAUGUUGGUUGUUUCAGCGAUACGGUAUGGCAUGGCUGUAAUUAGAAUUACAUAAAAAUAAAAUAUGACAAAAUAUUAUAAUAGCCAUAUAAUAAAAAUAAAAUAAAAAUCACAUAUGAACAUAAAAUAAAAACAAUUUUAAGCAGGUCAUGUACCAUGAGCUUUCUAAAUAAUAAAAACCGAGCAACGUGAGUGGUUUCUUCUUCGUUCUUUUUUUAAUGUAUCUUCUUCAGAUCCACCUUUCAGGAAAGUUCCACUGGAGCAGAAAGUUGAUGCGUGCAGGAUUCUAAGGCUCAGACCGCCUCCCCAAGGACCGGGGGACCGUCAUGCUCGAGCGUGGGGUAGAGAGGAAAACAGCGCCCUGUACAGCUUUACUCCGCCCUGUUGUUGUGCCAAACAACCUGCCGAGAAAGCUGAAUCGGUCCUGCCAGUGAUGACGGGACAAAAGCAGUUCACUGCAGGCUCUACCUUGGAGUGUGAACAUGCAUUUCGGUUCUGUCUCUGCAAGUGCACCGUCGCACGGCCUGAUCACCUCCCUAGGGUGUGUACCUGGGUCUCAGGGGAGCCAGGUGGCCCAGGACGCAUGCCUAGGGGGCGACUGUCUUCACAGCGGCUUCACGUCAACAAAACACCAGCAGAUUUGGCGCCAAGAGGCCAAAAGGCAAAGUCACCGCUGGAAUUGAAUGUGGACAGUGUAAUACGUUCUUACAUCUACCUGGAGAAACCAUUUUUAUUCCCGUACGACAUGGUCCUGUUUUCCCUUUAUUUUUUCCUCCCAGACUCUUUGCUGUUGCAGCUCUAUUUUCCAGUGUUAAACAUUUAAAAAUUAGUAUCACAAAGAGAGUAAUUGAUCCUGCUCGAGAAACGGUAAAAGGCCGUGCAAGCAAAGAGUUAGCACACAGAAAAACAGGUUUACCUGGCUCAGAUGCACAGCUGCUUAGACUCAGCCCUUGGGGGCAAAUGAUUCGGUCCAGGGAGACUCGGUCCUGGGAAAGAUACGGGUUUUUUUUCUUUAAUUUGCUCAACAUCAGGAGUCUCGGCCCCUCCCUCAUUGUAAAGAUGCUCAAAAUCCAGGGACUAAAGAGGGCUGGAGAUGAAGGAAAGGAAAGAAAAAACCAUUGACCAAGAGGGUAUUCUCUUUCAUCGGCCCGGUUGACAUUAGCAAAGGACAGAGGUUACCUACCUAAGAAAAUCAGAACCAAAUCUGAUUCUUCUAUCCCACUGGGGAAAACCAUAAUGGUUAGUUUCCAAAACAAGUGUAUAUGUGGUAUGCAUUGGCAGGGCUCGCUAAAAGACUGCUCAUGACUUUCAGAGGGCGGCCUGGCCAAGUGAUCAUUACGAAAGAUUUAUAAUGCAACUUUCAUUGACGCGCUAUCUGUCACAUUGCAAUUGCUCCUGUGAUUAGUUAUUACAAACACCUAGCAAAAGGACGCCCAGCAAACUGAGAUGAAGGUAGGCUGGGCAGCUUUUCCAGAGCCAUAGUCCAAAAAAUCAAACGAAAAGGGUUUGGUUUUCAUUCCCAACCUCCCCACCUGGCCCUGAGCAUCGCACGGCCUCCCCCCUUCCCGGCUGGCAUGCCAAGGGAGCACUGAGAAGUGGCAUCUGCUGCAUUCCAGAAUAUUCAGAAUUCUUAUGCAACCCUUAAAAUAUUUCCAUUUGCUUUUAAAAUAAGAAAACUCUAAAAAACAUGGCCCAGUUCCCUUUUAAAUUGCUUUACAAGUAGGAGAGGUGCUAAGAUUUUCAAACUCUUUUUAACCCAAUUCUGGAAAGCAUGGAGGGAUUUUUUUCCCCCCCUUAACCUCCUGAGAGCUAUUUAGUGAAAGAUUUGUAUGUAGUAGUUUUCAUUUUUGAAAAAAAAAUUUGAGGUGAGAUUAUGGUUAGUUUUCUUUUGUUUUCCUUGUGUUUUUAUUGGUUUUUUGGCAAUCAGCAUAUGUAUGUUUGUAAUAAGGACCAUACGUUUUUUUGGUUUUGUUUUUGUUUUAAAUCAAAAAAAAAAAAACAAAAAAAACAAAAAAGGGCUGCAGUAUGUUAGGUACGAUGGGCAAGGAGGUGAACAUUUGGAAGUGAUCUCUUCCUGGAGGAGCAGGCCCUCGUGACCCCCAAGUGAACACGCCUGUUCAAGAGAUUCCCGGCAGGAGCCUGCAGAUCUCUUUCCAGACUCUCCUUAGGGCCGAUGAGUUGGGGACAUUAAGCAUCACCUCCAUGUUGCGUCGCUUACAUGGGGUGGCCUUGAACAGUGGCCCAGGAUGCUCCUGAGAACAGAGACCACAUGAUGGCUAAAGUCUCCUCUUCACGCUGGCGUCUCAGACAAGCUUGUGAAGGGCUUUGGGUUCUUUGCAGCAAGAAAAAGAUGGCCGCACAGACUCAAACUCAAGAAGACCCACUUGCUGACUGCAUACCACGCCUUUUAUAGAAAAUUGAAAUCAGUACGGGAGUAGAGAGAACAGCAUAGGGCAAACCGUGUCCAUAUCACCCAGCUCUGACAACCAUCCGCUCUUGCCCAACCACUCCCUCUGACAGUGGGCUUUGUAUUAAAUCAAUACAAAGAGAGAGAGGGAGACACAGAAUCCGAAGCCGGCUCCAGGCUCGGAGCUGUCAGCCCAGAGCCCGACGCGGGGCUCGAACUCACGAACCGUGAGGUCAUGACCUGAGCCGAAGUCGGAUGCUGAACCGACUGAGCCACCCGGUGCCCCGACAGUGGGCGUUUUAAAAAUCAAAUCUCCGACAUCACAGUAUUUCAUCUGCAGACACUUCAGUAUUUUUCUGUCGGGACCCUUCCAUACAAAAACAACAAGAAAAAUAAGCACAAUGUCAUUACCCCACCUCAAACGAAACAAUACUUUCUUAAAUUCACUGAAUAUCCAGUGGUCUCUUUGUUUUGUGUGUAUCUCAUUUUUUUUUUUUUUUUCAGAUCUGAGUUCAAACAAGGUCCACACAUUGUAUUUGCUUCAUCUACCUCUUAAGAAUCUUAACGGAUAGGGGCUCCUGGGUGGCUCAGUCGGUUAAGCGUCCAACUUUGACUCAGGUCAUGAUCUCACCGUUCGUGAGUUUGAGCCCCACGUCAGGUUCUGUGCUGACAGCUCUGAGCUUGGAGUCGGCUUCAGAUUCCAUGUCUCCCUCUCUCUGCCCCUCCCCUGCUUGCACGUGCGCUCUCUCUCUUUCUCUCAAAAUUAAAUAAACAUUAAAAAAAUAAUAAAAAAAAGAAGAAG